rnacentral:rRNA from 1 species
GCUGGCGGCAGGCUUAACACAUGCAAGUCGAGCGGUAGCAGAUCUAGCUUGCUAGAUGCUGACGAGCGGCGGACGGGUGAGUAACGCGUAGGAACCUACCCAGUAGUGGGGGAUAGCCCGGGGAAACUCGGAUUAAUACCGCAUACGCUCUACGGAGGAAAGAGGGGGCUUCGGCUCUCGCUAUUGGAUGGGCCUGCGUGAGAUUAGCUAGUUGGUGAGGUAAUGGCUCACCAAGGCGACGAUCUCUAGCUGGUCUGAGAGGAUGAUCAGCCACACUGGGACUGAGACACGGCCCAGACUCCUACGGGAGGCAGCAGUGGGGAAUAUUGCACAAUGGGCGCAAGCCUGAUGCAGCCAUGCCGCGUGUGUGAAGAAGGCUUUCGGGUUGUAAAGCACUUUCAGUGGGGAGGAAGGCCUCGUAGUUAAUAGCUGCGAGGAUUGACGUUACCCACAGAAGAAGCACCGGCUAACUCCGUG